GCGAGAGUGGCGGAAUUGGCAGACGCGCUGGAUUUAGGAUCCAGUGGGUAAAACCGUAGGGGUUCGAGUCCCCUCUCUCGCA
rnacentral:tRNA from 1 species